GUCGUCAUCAUGAUCAUCAUCAUCUGUACUGUGUCUUCUCUGUUUUAAUCCCAGACGCUGUGACUGGCAGGCUCAUUACAGAAAAGCUUCAAACACUGACGAGGAAAAUAAUCGACUGCACUGCUGUGGUGACAAAUAUAGACCAUGGAUACAUUACAAAGUUUUCAACAGCGCUACCGGAGAGGUUUUCUGUGUGUGCUUAUUAAAAUGACGUUCUGCAGCAGAAAGUAUCCAGGCCGCAGUAAAGUCCUGCAACUUUCUUCAAAAUAGGAACAGAGCAUCAACGUUUCACCACAGUAGUUUUGUUUGUGUUUGUGUUCAAAAAUCUGUUGUGAAAGUGAUCCAAUACAGUUAAAACCAUACUACUGCAAUUUUGGUUAUAAAGACAAGCUUUUUAAAUGUCUGUUUGCAAUGAAUUUUUAACAGCAAUUAUUUAUUUGAUCAAAGUAAAGUUCUGAAAUAUACUCACUCUGUCAAAACUAUUAAAACACAUUUAGCCCAGUU